AUUGAACGCUGGCGGCAGGCCUAACACAUGCAAGUCGAGCGGAUGAAGGGAGCUUGCUCCUGGAUUCAGCGGUGGACGGGUGAGUAAUGCCUAGGAAUCUGCCUGGUAGUGGGGGAUAACGUCCGGAAACGGGCGCUAAUACCGCAUACGUCCUGAGGGUGAGAGUGGGGGAUCUUCGGACCUCACGCUAUCAGGUGAGCCUAGGUCGGAUUAGCUAGUUGGUGGGGUAAAGGCCUACCAAGGCGACGAUCCGUAACUGGUCUGAGAGGAUGAUCAGUCACACUGGAACUGAGACACGGUCCAGACUCCUACGGGAGGCAGCAGUGGGGAAUAUUGGACAAUGGGCGAAAGCCUGAUCCAGCCAUGCCGCGUGUGUGAAGAAGGUCUUCGGAUUGUAAAGCACUUUAAGUUGGGAGGAAGGGCAGUAAGUUAAUACCUUGCUGUUUUGACGUUACCAACAGAAUAAGCACCGGCUAACUUCGUG
rnacentral:rRNA from 1 species